rnacentral:lncRNA from 1 species
GUUUUGGAGUGCAGGCGUGAAUAGUCCUUUCUGUCCUGCUUUGAGUACUGCUGUUGGGUGCCUUGGGGGGACCUUAAGGGAGCUCGGAAGUUGAGACGUGGUGAGUGCGAGAUCACUGCCCACAAAGGGGAGGAGCAGGCGGAUGAACAGCCAGAGCUGCAAUGGUGGAUCCUCCUCCAGGGCUGCAUGGGACGACAGAUAGAUGAGGCUCUAGGACGGGCACAAAUGCUACCCGAAUGCAAACCACUCCGGAGAUCUGUAAAAGGACUGGCCCCGGACAGGAAGCACACUUUAAACUAGAGGCGGGAGUCAAAGCCCCGGUGAAGAUUCUGUGACGGUUCAUUGUAUAAUUUAUGAUGAUGAAGAUUGAGUUGCAUUUUGCGGAAAAGAGAUGUUGAGAUAUCUAAGGCAUUGAGAAAUCUGUCAUGCAGACAUGCACACAGGGAGAGGGAGUACCCAAACUGAUGAGAACUUACAGGAAUUGGACCAUCUAAGCCCUUAGAAAGUGAAGUCCACUGUGUCUCAAACAAAGAUCUUCAUCCACAUCUUGAAGUUUGAAGUUUGGCCAAGAAUAUACAGAGUAGAUUCUCUUUCUCAGGAUGGCAAGUGUUCAUGACAUCAAUACUACCCAAGGCUUCAGAGUCAUUGGAUUGCAGGAUGCAGUGACUUAUGAUGAUGUGAGUGUGAACUUCACUGAGGAAGAGUGGGAUUUGCUGGAUCCUUCCCAGAAAAGUCUCUAUGAAGAGGUGAUGCUGGAGACCUACCAGAACAUCACUGCUAUAGGUAAGUGAAUUUCCUCUUGCUUUUCUGAAUAAGGGUUCCUCUAUGUUUUAAAUUCAGAACUAUUCCAUCCAUCUUUUGGCAGAAUCAGAGCGCUCGGUGAAGAUUCUGUGAGGGUUCAUUGUAUAAUUUAUGAUGAUGAAGAUUGAGUUGCAUUUUGGGGAAAAGAGAUGUUGAGAUAUCUAAGGCAUUGAGAAAUCUGUCAGGCAGAGAUGCACACAGGGAGAGGGAGUACCCAAACUGAUGAGAAGUUACAGGAAUUGGACCAUCUAAGACCUUAGAAAGUGAAGUCCAAAGUGUCUCAAACAAAGAUCUUCAUCCACAUCUUGAAGUUUGAAGUUUGGCCAAGAAUAUACAGAGUAGAUUCUCUUUCUCAGGAUGGCAUGUGUUCAUGACAUCAAUACUACCCAAGGCUUCAGAGUCAUUGGAUUGCAG